CUUUUCCUCCCUAGCAUACGUAAGUGCCUGGAGUUCUCAGUUUCAUUCUCGUUUUGAGUAUCAUGCCUAGCUCUGAUCUCUGCUUAUGUAAAUAUGCUGAAACAAAAAUAGCAAAAAGCAUCCCAAAUUUAGAUGAGCGUGUGUUAAGAUAUGGCUGUUGUGUAAUUUGUCCUCUAAUAAUUUGGCUACAUCAGCUGUGUGGUUCAAAUCUAAGUGGACGAACAGAAGCCUCUCGCGUUUUCUUCACAUUAAUUUUGACAUACUGUGUUUAGUCUCUAUGCACUAAAUCUUUUAGGAAGAAAACCUCAUAAUAUAACGAACACAGACAAAAGGAAGUACUUUUCCAGUUUUCCUACAACUACAUUAGCAUUACUACACAAACGCUUAUACAACAACGCAAAGAGUCGAUCAAUUUAGUAAAAGCUGCAGUAACCGAACCAAACCAACAUGGUUUCAUUUAUUUAGCAAAAACGGAGCAGUAUAGAAAAAGGAUAGUACGACUGGAUGUUGUGUGGAUUUCUAUAUCAUAUAUAAACAAUUAAACAGAUAGAUUAUUGGUAUAUUUAUACUUCGUUGCAUGCAGUUUCUUUGUGAGUGAAGUAGAUUCUGGUUGGAGUGCCUCGGCCUAGUAAGCAAAUGUGAUUUCCAUGGAUACAAUUUUUUCAUAAGGAAGGCAGCUUCUAGUUUUAGCAAACAGAGUCAUAUAGGAACAGAGUAGCAUAACUGAGGUGAUUAUACAUGGAUAGGUAGGUACCUAGUUUUACAGAAUACUAAAAGAAAUGUACACAGGUUUACAAUGCCAUUGCAUUCUUCUUCUUCUUCUUCUUCUGAUAAUUGGGAUUGAUGGAACAAAAGUUUCAAACGAAAUUGCUUCUUCAUUGGUUCUGCUCUCGCUUUUGUUGUCUUUGUCUAGGGUGGGCUGAUCUAAUGGAGUUUGCCAUCUGAUUGGGGGAAAAGAACAGAGCUGUGUUACUAUAUUGCGACGAUUCCUGUAAUUUGUCCUGUAGAAGUGAGGUGUGGUAGGUGAACCGUGGAGAAGAACAGAAGCACCAAGCCGGAAAGGGAGAUCUGUUAGUCGUGCCGCCGCUGGCUGGAGCACGGGGUGCCACCGAAGCUCGAACCGCACCACCGCACGGGCUCAAGAUGAAGCUGCGGGUAGUGAUGUAGCACGGGACGCCACCGAAGCUCGAACCGCACCACCGCACGGGCUCAAGAUGAAGCUGCGGGUAGUGCUGGAGCGGGAGAGCGCCGCCACGCUGGCUGGGCCUCGGAGAGCCUCUACGUGCUGUGGCGGGGGACGUUGCUGAUUUUUUCAAUGAGCUUCUGGAUAAAGAAGAGCUAGGGGGCAGCAUAUAGUUACAUUGAAUAGAGAACAACAAAAGCUGAGUCGGGCCGAUCUGCUAUUAAUUGUGAUGCAGGUCUGGCUGGAAACCAGCAGCGUCCAUCUCCAAGAGGAGCGCAGAGGAGAGGCGGUAGAGGUUCUUUGGCAGGCUGUCGGUGUUUUGGUGAUCGAGGCUGAUGCGGCACCCGAACUUGCCGAGCAUGUGGUACUUCCAGUGGGCGAACUCCUGGGUCCGUCGUCCUCUCCAAGGUUCAAUGAAAUACCUGCAGCUUGUAAAACUACGUCGAUCUCCCACUGUCGAUGAUAUUCUAAAGAAGUAUUUGGAGCAUCGGAUAAACAAGGAUAACAAGUCACUAAUCUAUGUUAUGAAUUCUGGUUUAUUUCCCUUUUCUGCCACAAGUGAAUUUAUGACUGUGUAAUAUUUUACUGGAAUUGUGAGGUCCCUUGAACUUGCAAUCUUUUAUUAUUAUGCAACAACAUAACCGCAUAAUGUUAAAGUAUCAGUGCUGUAUUAAUUGAUGAUUCAGUUAGUAUUAGAAAAUGCCAUUUUCAUA